rnacentral:rRNA from 1 species
GGCUCAGGAUGAACGCUGGCGGCGUGCUUAACACAUGCAAGUCGAACGAUGAACCUCACUUGUGGGGGGAUUAGUGGCGAACGGGUGAGUAACACGUGAGUAACCUGCCCUUGACUCUGGGAUAAGCCUGGGAAACCGGGUCUAAUACUGGAUACGACCUUCUGGCGCAUGCCAUGUUGGUGGAAAGCUUUUGUGGUUUUGGAUGGACUCGCGGCCUAUCAGCUUGUUGGUGGGGUAAUGGCCUACCAAGGCGACGACGGGUAGCCGGCCUGAGAGGGUGACCGGCCACACUGGGACUGAGACACGGCCCAGACUCCUACGGGAGGCAGCAGUGGGGAAUAUUGCACAAUGGGCGCAAGCCUGAUGCAGCGACGCCGCGUGAGGGAUGAAGGCCUUCGGGUUGUAAACCUCUUUCAGUAGGGAAGAAGCCGGCCUUUG